CUAACAAUCCUUCGGGUGCGUUAAUGGGCGUCGAGCGGCGGACGGGUGAGUAAUGCCUAGGAAAUUGCCUUGAUGUGGGGGAUAACCAUUGGAAACGAUGGCUAAUACCGCAUAAUGCCUACGGGCCAAAGAGGGGGACCUUCGGGCCUCUCGCGUCAAGAUAUGCCUAGGUGGGAUUAGCUAGUUGGUGAGGUAAUGGCUCACCAAGGCGACGAUCCCUAGCUGGUCUGAGAGGAUGAUCAGCCACACUGGAACUGAGACACGGUCCAGACUCCUACGGGAGGCAGCAGUGGGGAAUAUUGCACAAUGGGCGAAAGCCUGAUGCAGCCAUGCCGCGUGUAUGAAGAAGGCCUUCGGGUUGUAAAGUACUUUCAGUUGUGAGGAAGGGGGUAGUGUUAAUAGCGCUAUCUCUUGACGUUAGCAACAGAAGAAGCACCGGCUAACUCCGUGCCAGCAGCCGCGGUAAUACGGAGGGUGCGAGCGUUAAUCGGAAUUACUGGGCGUAAAGCGCAUGCAGGUGGUUCAUUAAGUCAGAUGUGAAAGCCCGGGGCUCAACCUCGGAACUGCAUUUGAAACUGGUGAACUAGAGUACUGUAGAGGGGGGUAGAAUUUCACGUGUAGCGGUGAAAUGCGUAGAGAUCUGAAGGAAUACCAGUGGCGAAUGCGGCCCCCUGGACAGAUACUGACACUCAGAUGCGAAAGCGUGGGGAGCAAACAGGAUUAGAUACUCUGGUAGUCCACGCCGUAACGAUGUCUACUUGGAGGUUGUGGCCUUGAGCCGUGGCUUUCGGAGCUAACGCGUUAAGUAGA
rnacentral:rRNA from 1 species